rnacentral:ribozyme from 13 species
AAUAUCAUAAAGAAUAGAAGUAGAAGAAGGAUUCAAAGUACCAAUCAAAACAGAUUGAGACUUCCUCUUCAUCUUCAUAUCCUUCUUCUUCUUCUUCUUUUGUUCUCCUUCUUCUCUCUCCUCUCCUUCUUCUUCUUCUUCUCCAUUUGCAGAAUCAGAAAGAAGAGCUUUUUGUCCCGAAUUUUUCUCUCUUUUUUCCCAAAUUUCAGAUAAAGCGAGAUCCAUUUCUCUCAUGUAUGAUUCCGCCUUUCUUUGUAAUCUCACAUAAUUCUUUUCGAUAUGUUGGUGAAUUGUCUCUCUGAUAGCAGCGUUUGACUUGUCUGAAAUUCCCAAAUUGGAAAAAGCAGCAUUAAUAUUUUUCAUAUUUCGAUAGAC